UUGACUGAUUUGAUAUUUUCAGGAGACAGACACGGGAAUUUUUUCAGUUUGUGUUGACGUUUUAUAUCUGAUAACUAAGUGUUACAAGAUUCAAGAAACAUAAGAUUAUGGGGAAAAGAAUUAACUUCCUCAUAGAACCACUGUAAAGUCUGUCGAACUGCAUACCUCUACCGCACUGUGAUACUGCUGCAUUACCCCCUCCGAGACAGCAGGGGGCUGUGAAGCGCCUUAUCUGGGCCGACGACCCACGACGAAGAAGCAGUCGGAGGGUGGAGAAGCACUUGGACAUGGCAGACAGUCUCAGCUGUCGGCCUGCAUCAGGACGUCUGGAUUCAUCAGGGGAAUCUUCUCUUCCACUGCAGCUCACAUCUGUUUUCACUGUGGGCUGAGGUAGUAGGUUGUAUAGUUUUAGGGUCACACCCGCACCGGGAGAUAACUAUUCAACCUACUGUCUUUCUCAAAGUGCUAAACCCCCCUCUCGACCGUCCCUCGGCUGCAUGGAUUCUGCUCUGCGGCCUUUGUUCCCGCCACUCACGCAGUGUGAGGUAGUAGAUUGUAUAGUUGUAGGGCAGUGAUUUUGCCCUGUUUGGAAGAUAACUAUACAAUCUAUUGCCUUCCCUGAGGAGUGGCCCCUCUUCUUGUUUAUAAAAUGAAUUUCCUGCCUCCAUUUUCAAAACAUGUUUUCCUCACUGGAAACUGCUGUUUGCUGGUUCUCUCAUGGAAUAUUUAACAUUGUGAUGUGGCUUCUUUCCCACCGACUUGGUUUUGAGCAGAGCUAAUUGCUCAACCUGUACCUGUACAGAUUAUACAUAAAUUACUUUCUUUUUGUUUCACAUACUUUGUGGUUGUCUAUUGAUUUACAUGGGAUUUGCUUCGACUAACGUUUAUUUUCACUAUUGAUUAAUCUGUUAGUUGUUUAUACAGAUGUAACGGUAUGAAAAUUAAACAUCACGGUUAUAGUGACCAAUAUUAUUAUUAUGGUAUCAGUAUUAUCACUGUAUUAAAAAAAAAUACAUAAACCUUCCAAAA